rnacentral:tRNA from 1 species
UGCAUGGUGGCCGAGUGGGUAAAGCGUUUAUAGCUAUUUACCAAAUACCGAUGGUUCUAAUCCAUCCCGGAGCAA